rnacentral:rRNA from 1 species
GGGGGGGGAGGGCCUACACAUGCAAGUCGAGCGGUAACAGGGGUAGCUUGCUACCCGCUGACGAGCGGCGGACGGGUGAGUAAUGCAUAGGAAUCUGCCCGAUAGUGGGGGAUAACCUGGGGAAACCCAGGCUAAUACCGCAUACGUCCUACGGGAGAAAGGGGGCUCCGGCUCCCGCUAUUGGAUGAGCCUAUGUCGGAUUAGCUAGUUGGUGAGGUAAAGGCUCACCAAGGCGACGAUCCGUAGCUGGUCUGAGAGGAUGAUCAGCCACAUCGGGACUGAGACACGGCCCGAACUCCUACGGGAGGCAGCAGUGGGGAAUAUUGGACAAUGGGCGAAAGCCUGAUCCAGCCAUGCCGCGUGUGUGAAGAAGGCCCUCGGGUUGUAAAGCACUUUCAGCGAGGAAGAACGCCUAGUGGUUAAUACCCAUUAGGAAAGACAUCACUCGCAGAAGAAGCACCGGCUAACUCCGUGCCAGCAGCCGCGGUAAUACGGAGGGUGCAAGCGUUAAUCGGAAUUACUGGGCGUAAAGCGCGCGUAGGUGGCUUGAUAAGCCGGUUGUGAAAGCCCCGGGCUCAACCUGGGAACGGCAUCCGGAACUGUCAA